AUUGAACGCUGGCGGCAUGCCUUACACAUGCAAGUCGAACGGUAACAGGUCUUCGGAUGCUGACGAGUGGCGAACGGGUGAGUAAUACAUCGGAACGUGCCCGAGAGUGGGGGAUAACGAGGCGAAAGCUUUGCUAAUACCGCAUACGAUCUCAGGAUGAAAGCAGGGGACCGCAAGGCCUUGCGCUGACGGACCGGCCGAUGGCCGAUUAGGGAGUUGGUGGGAUAAAAGCUGACCAAGCAGACGAUCUGUAGCUGGUCUGAGAGGACGACCAGCCACACUAGGACUGGGGCACGGACCAGACUCCGACGGGAGGCAGCAGUGGGGAAUUUUGGACGAUGGGCGCAAGCCUGAUCCAGCCAUGCCGCGUGCAGGAUGAAGGCCUUCGGGUUGUAAACUGCUUUUGUACGGAACGAAAAGACUCUGGUUAAUACCUGGGGUCCAUGACGGUACCGUAAGAAUAAGCACCGGCUAACUACGUGCCAGCCGCCGCCGUAACAC
rnacentral:rRNA from 1 species